UUUAACUGAAGAGUUUGAUCAUGGCUCAGAUUGAACGCUGGCGGCAGGCUUAACACAUGCAAGUCGAGCGGGGGAAGGUAGCUUGCUACUGGACCUAGCGGCGGACGGGUGAGUAAUGCUUAGGAAUCUGCCUAUUA
rnacentral:rRNA from 1 species